CUUUCUCCCGGGCAUGCCUUAGAAUCCGAGCCAUGGCUCUGCAUGAUUGUCUGAAGCGGCUUCAGCGAGGCGGAAGUCUAUCAACUAUUGGUUAAAGCGAGGCGGAAGCUUGCUUUUGAUUGGCCAAACUUCUCGAAGGAGGCGGGAUGUUUACCCAGGAUCGUUGACGCGGUUUCCUUUCCACGUGGGAGUUCCAGCGAUGGCGGAGAGCAAGGAGCCGGUGCCACCUGGCCCCCGGGCUCUCGAGGAGAGAGUUGAAGCAGAUCUGCCUGCUGCACUGGGCUUGCUGGAAUCCCUCCAAGAGCAGGUGGUUGCAGUGACCCAGCAUGUACGGUGCCUGGCGCAGAAGGUGCAGGCGGGGGCCUACCCCACAGAAAAGGGCCUCAGUUUCCUGGAAGUGAAGGACCAGCUCCUUCUCCAGUACCUUCAAGAUCUCUCCCACCUGAUCCUAGAGAAAACCUCAGGACGCUCGCUAGCCGACCACCCUGCCUUGCUGCGCUUGGUGGAGACCCGAACGGUUUUGGAGAAGAUGCGCCCCAUUGAUCAGAAACUGAAGUACCAGGUGGACAAGCUGGUGAAGACAGCCAUGACGGGGGCUCUUGGUGAAAACGAUCCGCUGAGAUUCAAGCCAAACCCCCACAACCUGAUGAGCAAGCUGAGCGACUCGGAGGAAGAAGAAGAUAGCGAAGCUGCUGAUGCAAAGAAUUCUGGGAAGGAGACCUCGAAAGGAGGCAGCAGGAAAUACGUCCCGCCCCGCUUGGUGCCCGUCCAUUAUGAUGAGACGGAGGCCGAGCGCGAGAAGAAGAUGCUGGAGCAGGCCAAGAGACGGGCUCUCAGCAGCUCGAUCAUCCGGGAGCUGAAAGAACAGUACUCAGAGGCGCCGGAGGAGGUCCGGGAGGGGCGCUACCCCCACGCCACCAGGCAGAACCGGGAGGACGAACACCGGACCAACUACGAGGAAAGCAUGAUGGUCCGCCUCAACGUGACCCGGAAGGAGAAGGCCCGCCGGAGGCGAGAGGGCGCCCUCACCUCUCAGCUCAGCUCCCUCACCCACUUUGGGGACAUCAGUGCGUUGACCGGGGCAGCACCCACAGUGGGAGAGGAUUCAAGUCCCCAAAAGAAGAAACGGAAGAUCACCACAAAACGAGGGAAGAAGAAAAAGGCUAAAGAACACUGAUGAACCUUGCUUGAUUUGCCAGUCACUGAAUUGGGGAGGUUUUAAUCAGUCCAAGGAGCGCUCAGAUGGCAACAUCAAGGGACGAGUUCGAGGUGUGCGGGGCAGCCACUGCAGAUCAAAGGUUCCACCCUGAGCGAGUCAGCGCCUUCCACACAUUCCGCUGCGCUUCACCAAGUGAGGCACGUGCCCGUGUGGAUCUGCUCCAGGUAUUCCUCAAAGUUGAACUUCAAAACUGAAAUGGGAAAAUGUUCGAAGCCGGUGGUGAAUUUGAAUGGUAAGAUCUGACAUAUGGAUCUGCGUGAAAUUAAUCGCGUGUGUGUGUGUGUGUGUGUGUGUAAGAAAGAGAGAGAGUAUGUGUGUGAAUGAAUGAAUGAAUGAAUGGAUAUGUGCUUGUGUUAAGCUAGUGUGCAUUUGUGCACUGCUGUAAUAAUAUGAAGCCACGUCCUCUCCAAGGGCAUCUAUGUCUUAAACACAAAUUGUAGGGCACUGUAAGUAAACAGGGGUGGGAUACCAGCACCCAUUGUGAGCAGUAGAGAAGUGUGAGAGGGAGAAACAUGGAGAGGCUGAUUUCUCCCUCCCCACCACCACUACUACCACCACCUAUUCAAGAACUGGGGUCUGGAAUGGAGCACUUUCAGAUGGGCAGCGGUUUCAAUUGCAAGCUCUUUGGGACAGGGACCUCUCCAUUUUCCCCGUCUUAUCCCCCUUGUCUUAUUCAGGUCCAUUGCUGCCAGGUACAUUGAUGUACCUUGUCUGCCAGGUACAGUGACAGCGCAGGGGAAAGAACUAACUGCAACAACAAAGGAGUCGUGUAAAUAGCAAUAAAUGAAGGCUUUUACAUGUAGACCCUUGGAGGGCCAGGCUAUCCCAGCAUGCCCCUGGGGGAACAGCCAAAGGUCUGGGUGUGAUCCAACCAGGUCACCCUCCAUGCCUGUCCCUGUGUGAACACUCCCUUAAAAUAGCACCCUGCUAAAUGGCUUUACAUUGUUUUAAACCAGUAUCGUUUUAAAGAGCUUUUCACAGACACUGAAAAGACAGUGGAGGCCCUCAAGUUCCAUGCUGGUGCAUGCUGCUUGUCCCAGGCUGGCAGGCACAGGCAGGAAAAGUCUGACCACAGAAGCGGACUAGGCAGUUGCCUAGAACGGUACAAUUCCAGGGGCAUUCCCAGUGCCAGGACCCAGUGCACAGUUGUCCAGACUUCCCUACUGCUUCGAACUUGGUCAGCUCCCUGCAGAAAUUGGGGACAUGACCCAGAAUCCUUUGCAACGCCCCAGAAAAUUCUGGGGCACACUCUCUCUUCAUGCAGAGACACCAUCCCCUACAUACAGAUUUGCCUUCUCUCCUGUAGUCAACUACUAGGGAAAUUGACAGAAAUAUGUGGUCUUUUUCAUCACUAGAAGGGCAUAAAUAGGAACAGGUUAUGCUUCUAAUGUGCCUUAAAACAAGAGAUCUAAAUUUUGUACCAAGAGCAGCUGGAUUCUGUGCUCUAACCAUAUAAAUCACACAUAUUUGCAUAGAAUUGCAUAUAUUUGCAUAACAAACAGAGAGGGCCAAGGAGCUAUGCUCCACACAUGAAAACUUGACACUAGAAAUCUACCUCAGCUUCUCCAUCGAGCUUCUGCUCCAUCUCAUCAGAAAGCACCCACACACUUUCAAAUCUAACUUCACAUCCAUUAAGACUGGAAAUAUGUUUUUAAUUUGUUUAAAGAUGCUGCAUUAUGUUGUAAUCACUAUACAUGUUGAACCCAGGGGCGUAGUAAGGUUGGGGGUGGGCCCAGAGACAAGAUUUUAAAAUGGAACCCCCCUCACUGAAGCUCAGCUCAUGAAGUAAAGAAAACUUAAAUGAGGCUGAAUAGUGGUAACAAUUUUGUUAAUUGUGGACGAUGCCAGUCAUUUAAUGGUACUAGAGAAAGACAUGCUGUUCCGGUAGCUCCAGGUCUUCACAUCAAUUUGGAGGGUGAAUACAACUGAAGGAAGCCCGGGUGGGGAGUCAGUCAUGUGACUUGCCUCUGGGGGGGCCCCAAGGCAGUGGGCCCCCAGACAACUGUCUCCCCUUGCCCUAUUAUAGUUAGGCCCCUGGUUGAACCAUUCCCAAGACGGCUUUGACACAAGAAAUCCAACUUGAUUUUUCUUCAGCACAAGUGGGGGGAAGGUCAUGUGAAUUGUUUAUUUUAUUUUUUAUUUUACAUUUUAUAUCCUGCUCUUCCUCCAAGGAGCCCAGAGCGGUGUCCUACAUACUUGAGUUUCUCCUCACAACAACCCUGUGAAGUAGGUUAGGCCGAGAGAGAAGUGACUGGCCCAGAGUCACCCAGCGAGUUUCAUGGGGAUUUGAACUCGGGUCUCCCCGGUCCUAGUCCGGCACUCUAACCACUACACCAAAACUUGUAGUUAGAUUUGUAUUUUUGUAUUUCAAUUUAUUAAUUAAACAAAUCGUAUUAAUAAAUAUGUAUUAAACAGUAAUAAACUGUUUAUUAAACAGU